rnacentral:rRNA from 1 species
UACAGAGGGUGCGAGCGUUAAUCGGAAUUACUGGGCGUAAAGCGCGCGUAGGCGGCUUUGCAAGUCGGGUGUGAAAACCCCAGGCUUAACCUGGGAACUGCAUUCGAGACUGCAUUGCUAGAGUAUGGGAGAGGGAAGUGGAAUUCCCGGUGUAGCGGUGAAAUGCGUAGAUAUCGGAAGGAACAUCAGUGGCGAAAGCGACUUCCUGGACCAAUACUGACGCUCAUGUGCGAAAGCGUGGGGAGCAAACAGG